rnacentral:rRNA from 1 species
CACGUAGGGGGCAAGCGUUGUCCGGAUUUAUUGGGCGUAAAGAGCUCGUAGGCGGCUCAGUAAGUCAGGUGUGAAACCUCCAGGCUCAACCUGGAGACGCCACCUGAUACUGCUGUGGCUAGAGUCCGGUAGGGGAGCGUGGAAUUCCUGGUGUAGCGGUGAAAUGCGCAGAUAUCAGGAGGAACACCGGUGGCGAAGGCGGUUCUCUGGGCAGUAACUGACGCUGGAG